CAUUUUUUUUUAAUGUGGGGAGUAUGCACAUCUUCUUGCAUAAGUAUUCGUUCCCCACAUUUUUUUUAUAUGGAGUUAAUACAUAUGCAAGUUUAUGUGCAAAUCGCAGCUUGUAGGCAAAAAGAGAGCAACCGUCGAAGUUGGUUCUCUCGUUUAGUUUUUUUCUCUCUGCUUUAGCAGUAAAGUUUUAAGCAGUAAAACACAAAUUUUAUUUUUAACAUAUAAUAAAUACAUAAUUAAAAAUAUAAGUGGGUCUUAUCUAUUAACGCAAUGUGAUUAGUUUUGAAUUCGAGGGAAUUUCUACAAAAAUUUAAAAAAAAAUAUACCAGGGGGGAAAAGGUCAUCGUUUCUACGACCCUCGUUUGUUCCGCCAUUGCAAUGACGUUUGGUUAAGAUUACCAGAAAAGUUUAGAAAGUUUUUUGUUAUGUAUUUAAACUUUCACUUUGGUAAACUAGGGCCCGCCUAUUUCUUCAUCUUAGUUAAUUCAAGUAAGGAAAUGUGAUAUACUUUAUCAACUAUGUAUAUCUAGCGGAACACUUAAAAAUAUCUUUAAUUGAUCUCUUUAAAAAUUGUUACUUAUAAUAACUUAAUAAUGGGAAAAUGUAUAUGUAUCUCUUACUUGUUUUCAAAUCCGGAUGAAGUCAUAAUCAUAUGUAAAAUGUCUGCAAUUCGUAAUUUAUUGAAUUAUCUCUUGAACAGGGGUAUCAAAUGAUGUGACUUAUUUCUCUUAAGUCUUUAAAAGAGUUGAUCAGAAAUUAUUGGUCUCAUUUAUAGUGUACAAAUUUCGGCUACAAAGUAAGUGAAUACUGAUUUUGACGUUUCACAAUCAGCU